UGGUGGGUCCAUGCGACUUGUAUGUUGCUUAUAAUUGUUGGAACUUCUUUGUACUCGUGGAAUCCAUGGACAACAUACUUCUGCUACGUGCUGGAACUUGACGGCAAUGAAGUAUGCGAGGUUCCAUUGCCAUGGUAACGCAGAAGUGAGAUAGACGGCAAUGUACUUGGUGUGGGGGUUUUUAUUUGGCUACUUUUGCAUGACUCGUUUCUACAACCAAAGUUUACGAAGUAAUUGUGAUGAAAGACUAUGGCAUUGUAGAAUGUUGGACCCCUUUGUUUGAGAUCUUGAAUUUGACAUUCUUUGAGUUCUACCCUAACUGAAAUUUGAUACCACUGAUGCGUGUGGAAAAUGGUCAUGUGUUAAUUGUUAAUGGCGGGUUAAUGUUUAGUUACAACUUUCAAACAGUGGAAUACAAUCAUGAUUAUCCCGUAGUGUCUAAUUGAUGUACCCAAAAGUUUAAGCUCCCCGGUUCGGCAAAGGCAGAUCGAAGGACAGUCGGACCCUGAAUCAGAAGGGGAAUAUUCCAAAUUUCCAUCCGAAAGAAGAGGAAUGCUCAAUAGACCAUGAUUAUGGGAGAGCAUUUACCGGACCAUCAUUCAGAAGUGGACUUUAGGGAAUUUGAGUUUUUCAUGAAUUACCACUUUCCGCAUUCAUUUUUUUUUUUUUUAAAUCUGAUGUAGUCCCCUGUUGUGUAUUUGCCCUCUCAAUGUUUUCUAUAUUCGAGUUUUCUAUAAAACUUGUGCAAAGAUCAUUCUAUUUAUAAGCCUUUGAUCUUUUAAGAAACAAAUUAUGCUACAAAUUGCCAGAUAAGUACAUGGAUUUAGGGUUUCGACUCCAUGUUUUUGAUUUUUCUGAUCAUAGUCCCCUUAUUUGCUCAAUUAGCUAAUUAAUUGCCGGAUGGUAAUCUAUGACUAGAAUUGGUUGGAUACUUUUCUGUAUACAGAAUUGAUCCCUUAGAAUUAUAUUUAAUGAU
rnacentral:lncRNA from 1 species